GUUAAUACUGCAUACGUCCCUAACGGGAGAAAGAUGGCCUCUUUGCUGUCGCUGAAAGACGAGCUUGCGUACGAUUAGCUAGUUGGUAGGGUAAAGGCCUACCAAGGCAAAGAUCGUUAGCCGGCCUGAGAGGGUGUACGGCCACACUGGAACUUAUACACGGUCCAGACUCCUACGGGAGGCAGCAGUGAGGAAUCUUGCGCAAUGGGCGAAAGCCUGACGCAUCGACGCCGCGUGGAGGAUGAAGGUCUUCGGAUUGUAAACUUCUGUUAAGUGGGAAGAAAUGUUCCGUUUUAAUACANCGGAGAGAUGACGGUACCAUUAGAGAAAGCACCGGCUAACUUCGUGCCAGCAGCCGCGGUAAUACUAAGGGUGCGAACGUUAUUCGGAUUGAU
rnacentral:rRNA from 1 species